CCCUAGUCCUUCACAAACACUGAUCGUUCUCUCUCUCUCUCUCGGUCUCACAGACUGGUAAACACACAUGUAUAUGUAACUCUAUAUACUAUGUAUAUGUGAAUAUCAAUCUUUGAAAUUGAAAUUAUUCUGUUGAGAUCUGAGCAAGAAUCGAAGUAGUCGUCCUCAACUUCCUUAAGAUCUUGAACUCUUCGACUCCGGCAAUCUCAUGUCACUUUGGCUUGCAAUUUUACUUCAAAUCUCUAAUCUCGAAAUGUGUGUUAAGCAUUGAGUCACUGUUGAUUUUAAGUAGAUGAAUUUGGGGAUUUUUCAGUGUAUUACAAAUCGAUAGAAGAUGGAGUAAUAGUAGAGCGAGUUGAGGUUUGAUGAAGAUUAGAGAUCGAGAAGUUGGAUACUCAGUGGUUCACUACGAAGAAGUCGUCUCCUGAUUCGAAGCAAAAGUGAGUUUGACACAAUGAUCAGUAAUAGUUCCAAACCAUAGGUGAAAUCAGUAAUUUACAUCUUUUGAUGGUACAGUAGCUCGUGUAGUCUUAGUGUUGGGGGAUUAUUUGAAGGAUGAACCAUGGUUAAAGCUCCUCUGCAACUACCUGAAGUAUGAACUAUUUUAUUUGUAAUUUUUAUUUUCAUGUUGCCACAAAUCACGACAUGUUUUAUUUAAAAUAUUAUAGGUCAAAUCAAUUUAUAUGUUUGAAUAUUGAAUUUGAUUGAUGAAUUCAGUAGUUAUUCAUGACCUGCUGAAUGAUUUGAAUGUGCGAAAGCUUAGGGUAAAAACUGCAAGUCAAAUCUUUGCCUUAAUGAAGAGGAUUUAAACUACUUUUUUAGAUGCAGUCAAAUUAUUAUGCAACUGUGUGGAGUUUAAACACAAAUAACUGCAGGCUUGAAUUCAAAGAUAAUACAAAUAACUUGAUAUUUUCAAAGACAACUAGAAUUGAAAAUGGCAAACUGCACUGCAACCAAGUGUUGAUAAACUAAUUGUACAAGCCUAAAUUGAGAAUUGAAAUUGACGCUGUUUGAUGUAUUGGUGGUGCGCAACCCUCAUUUUAUCUUUGCGUUGGCUAUUUAUAAUGGCUGGCUGGCUGCGUGCAAGUUCAAACAUCAGCACCUCACAUCCUUCUGUUUUCAAGACUGCAUGUCCUCCACCUUCUUCAUUGUUGCACUCCUUAUCUAGUGUGUCUUGCUCUCACACUCUGGUUGCCCCACUUGUCCCAACUUUCCAAUGCCUCCAUUAAUUCAAAGAGAAGCUACACAUUCUACACUACUGAUUUUUUAUGGUUGAGGCUUCACAGAUUGCCAUGUCCUCCUUUUCUUAUGUAAUGCAGACUUACUUCCAUUGACUUGAUGGAAUACUUCUCCGUGUGUGACAUGUUCUUUUCCUUUGACCAGGUGUUGAACAAUACCACAACUAUCCCCUGCUUCAUGGGAUAUGAAAUAACACUUAGUUGUUGGGAUGACUUAUACAUGCCCUUCUUCCAUAAGUUGCCAUUUGUAUAGACAUAGUUACACAUGAAGAUUCCACAUCUAUCAUAGCAAAACUACUUCUUUUAACAUAAAAGGGGAGAUAAAAAGUUUAUAACAAACUCCUCUCAAUUAAUCUCAGUUUAAUAUAAAUCUGACCCAAGUUACUUCAACCAACCCUUUCUUACUUGGCUUCCAUCACUACGUACCCAUUUCCUGUUGGCUAGCCAUUUUUAGCCUAUGGCUUGGUUGGAGAUUAGUCACCCUUAAAGUGAUUGUUUGGAAGUUGGACACCCUUGAAGUUUUCAACUCUCACCUAUUUCCUAAUUUUGUUUUGUUAUUUUUGUCGAAGAUUUGACUGUAUCAUCAAUUGGUAUUUGAAAUUAAUUUGGUGUGUAUCCCAUGCGCCAUGGUUCUAGCCACUUAAAUGAAUCUUUACUCACCCUGAUCAGAAAGGUCUUUGUUUAGGUGUCUCAAAAAAAUUGAAAAGAGCGAACUUUGAAAGUGUUGUUCAUUAUGUUGAAUCCUAUGAGCAGAAUUGGGAGCAAACAAAGCAAGAAAAUUUCUACAAUUAACACUAAGUCAACCAAAUUCUGGCUGGUGGUAUUGGGGCAUGUGAUUAAAAAACAGAAACUUGCUUCCUAAAUUCUGGCUGAUGGAAUUCCUGCAACUAGAAGGAGACAAUCCUUCAGACUAUAUUUCACAUGCAAAAUGGCUUCCUAAAUAGGCUCAGAACAAUAAUGUGGUGAUGCACUGAUUCAUUAUGGUGUAUUAUUUUAUGUUGGGAUAACUCAAACAAACACAUCAAAUAUUCAAAAUUAAGCUCUUGACAGGCGCGCAGGCACAAGAGAGACUCAAGGAAUGAACAACAAAAUGUCUCUGUUGGAAUUGUGGUAAACACUGGAAUUAGAAAUAUUGUUGUGAAAAGAGGACUUUAUAUGGUAAAAUUAUCCUUCAAUCAUGAAAGUGUUGGAUAAACUUUCAUAGCCAACCUUGAGGAUAAAGUUGAUUUUUAGGGGGUGGAAUGAUUGGAUCCAAUAUUGUUAGAAAAUAUUAUUAAGCUAUAUUUUGAUCUACUUCUUUAUUUAAGCUUUAAUUAGAAAAUUGUAGGUACAUGAUUCUUCCUAUCACGUGACUCGUCCAUGAAAAUUGCCAUAUCACCUCCAUAUGUUUUGGUCCCAACUCCUAGUGUUAGUCUAAUAAGGUGGCACUUGGACCAACCAGAUACUACCAUAGCGGUGCCUUAGCCUUGAGCUUAGACACUUGGGGGCAAUUUCCAGGAGGCGCCCCAGGCAUGCUUGACUCUCACUCACUCAGUAAGAUUAGUCCUCCACUUGAGUGUGCCCAUCUCCAUUUUGUGAUGCA